rnacentral:rRNA from 1 species
UACGAAGGGGGCUAGCGUUGCUCGGAAUUACUGGGCGUAAAGGGAGCGUAGGCGGAUAGUUUAGUCAGAGGUGAAAGCCCAGGGCUCAACCCUGGAAUUGCCUUUGAUACUGGCUAUCUUGAGUGUGGGAGGGGUUAGCGGAACUCCGAGUGUAGAGGUGAAAUUCGUAGAUAUUCGGAAGAACACCAGUGGCGAAGGCGGCUAACUGGCCCAUUACUGACGCUGAGGCUCGAAAGCGUGGGGAGCAAACAGG